AUUGAACGCUGGCGGCAUGCCUUACACAUGCAAGUCGAACGGUAACGGGCCUUCGGGUGCCGACGAGUGGCGCACGGGUGAGUAAUACAUCGGAACGUGCCCGAUCGUGGGGGAUAACGAGGCGAAAACUUUGCUAAUACCGCAUACGAUCUACGGAUGAAAGCAGGGGACCGCAAGGCCUUGCGCGGACGGAGCGGCCGAUGGCAGAUUAGGUAGUUGGUGGGAUAAAAGCUUACCAAGCCGACGAUCUGUAGCUGGUCUGAGAGGAUGAUCAGCCACACUGGGACUGAGACACGGCCCAGACUCCUACGGGAGGCAGCAGUGGGGAAUUUUGGACAAUGGGCGCAAGCCUGAUCCAGCCAUGCCGCGUGCAGGAUGAAGGCCUUCGGGUUGUAAACUGCUUUUGUACGGAACGAAAAGCCUUCUUUUAAUACAGGAGGGUCAUGACGGUACCGUAAGAAUAAGCACCGGCUAACUACGUG
rnacentral:rRNA from 1 species